AGAGAAGCCCUCUGGACAGCUUCUAGAGUGUGCAGGUUCUCGUAUCCCUCGGCCAAGGGUAUCCUCUGCAAACCUCUGCAAACCCAGCGCAACUACGGUCCCCCGGUCAGACCCAGGAUGGGGCCAGAACGGACAGGGGCCGCGCCGCUGCCGCUGCUGCUGGUGUUAGCGCUCAGUCAAGGCAUUUUAAAUUGUUGUUUGGCCUACAAUGUUGGUCUCCCAGAAGCAAAAAUAUUUUCCGGUCCUUCAAGUGAACAGUUUGGCUAUGCAGUGCAGCAGUUUAUAAAUCCAAAAGGCAACUGGUUACUGGUUGGUUCACCCUGGAGUGGCUUUCCUGAGAACCGAAUGGGAGAUGUGUAUAAAUGUCCUGUUGACCUAUCCACUGCCACAUGUGAAAAACUAAAUUUGCAAACUUCAACAAGCAUUCCAAAUGUUACUGAGAUGAAAACCAACAUGAGCCUCGGCUUGAUCCUCACCAGGAACAUGGGAACUGGAGGUUUUCUCACAUGUGGUCCUCUGUGGGCACAGCAAUGUGGGAAUCAGUAUUACACAACGGGUGUGUGUUCUGACAUCAGUCCUGAUUUUCAGCUCUCAGCCAGCUUCUCACCUGCAACUCAGCCCUGCCCUUCCCUCAUAGAUGUUGUGGUUGUGUGUGAUGAAUCAAAUAGUAUUUAUCCUUGGGAUGCAGUAAAGAAUUUUUUGGAAAAAUUUGUACAAGGCCUGGAUAUAGGCCCCACAAAGACACAGGUGGGGUUAAUUCAGUAUGCCAAUAAUCCAAGAGUUGUGUUUAACUUGAACACAUAUAAAACCAAAGAAGAAAUGAUUGUAGCAACAUCCCAGACAUCCCAAUAUGGUGGGGACCUCACAAACACAUUCGGAGCAAUUCAAUAUGCAAGAAAAUAUGCUUAUUCAGCAGCUUCUGGUGGGCGACGAAGUGCUACGAAAGUAAUGGUAGUUGUAACUGACGGUGAAUCACAUGAUGGUUCAAUGUUGAAAGCUGUGAUUGAUCAAUGCAACCAUGACAAUAUACUGAGGUUUGGCAUAGCAGUUCUUGGGUACUUAAACAGAAACGCCCUUGAUACUAAAAAUUUAAUAAAAGAAAUAAAAGCAAUCGCUAGUAUUCCAACAGAAAGAUACUUUUUCAAUGUGUCUGAUGAAGCAGCUCUACUAGAAAAGGCUGGGACAUUAGGAGAACAAAUUUUCAGCAUUGAAGGUACUGUUCAAGGAGGAGACAACUUUCAGAUGGAAAUGUCACAAGUGGGAUUCAGUGCAGAUUACUCUUCUCAAAAUGAUAUUCUGAUGCUGGGUGCAGUGGGAGCUUUUGGCUGGAGUGGGACCAUUGUCCAGAAGACAUCUCAUGGCCAUUUGAUCUUUCCUAAACAAGCCUUUGACCAAAUUCUGCAGGACAGAAAUCACAGUUCAUAUUUAGGUUACUCUGUGGCUGCAAUUUCUACUGGAGAAAGCACUCACUUUGUUGCUGGUGCUCCUCGGGCAAAUUAUACCGGCCAGAUAGUGCUAUAUAGUGUGAAUGAGAAUGGCAAUAUCACGGUUAUUCAGGCUCACCGAGGUGACCAGAUUGGCUCCUAUUUUGGUAGUGUGCUGUGUUCAGUUGAUGUGGAUAAAGACACCAUUACAGACGUGCUCUUGGUAGGUGCACCAAUGUACAUGAGUGACCUAAAGAAAGAGGAAGGAAGAGUCUACCUGUUUACUAUCAAAGAGGGCAUUUUGGGUCAGCACCAAUUUCUUGAAGGCCCCGAGGGCAUUGAAAACACUCGAUUUGGUUCAGCAAUUGCAGCUCUUUCAGACAUCAACAUGGAUGGCUUUAAUGAUGUGAUUGUUGGUUCACCACUAGAAAAUCAGAAUUCUGGAGCUGUAUACAUUUACAAUGGUCAUCAGGGCACUAUCCGCACAAAGUAUUCCCAGCUGUUGUGUACUAUAAUUUCGUGUCAAACCUGCUCUUUUAGAAAAUCUUGGGAUCCGAUGGAGCCUUUAGGAGCCAUCUCCAGUACUUUGGGAGGUCCUUGGAUGGCUAUGGAGAUUUAAAUGGGGAUUCCAUCACCGAUGUGUCUAUUGGUGCCUUUGGACAAGUGGUUCAACUCUGGUCACAAAGUAUUGCUGAUGUAGCUAUAGAAGCUUCAUUCACACCAGAAAAAAUCACUUUGGUCAACAAGAAUGCUCAGAUAAUUCUCAAACUCUGCUUCAGUGCAAAGUUCAGACCUACUAAGCAAAACAAUCAAGUGGCCAUUGUAUAUAACAUCACACUUGAUGCAGAUGGAUUUUCAUCCAGAGUAACCUCCAGGGGGUUAUUUAAAGAAAACAAUGAAAGGUGCCUGCAGAAGAAUAUGGUAGUAAAUCAAGCACAGAGUUGCCCCGAGCACAUCAUUUAUAUACAGGAGCCCUCUGAUGUUGUCAACUCUUUGGAUUUGCGUGUGGACAUCAGUCUGGAAAACCCUGGCACUAGCCCUGCCCUUGAAGCCUAUUCUGAGACUGCCAAGGUCUUCAGUAUUCCUUUCCACAAAGACUGUGGUGAGGACGGACUUUGCAUUUCUGAUCUAGUCCUAGAUGUCCGACAAAUACCAGCUGCUCAAGAACAACCCUUUAUUGUCAGCAACCAAAACAAAAGGUUAACAUUUUCAGUAACGCUGAAAAAUAAAAGGGAAAGUGCAUACAACACUGGAAUUGUUGUUGAUUUUUCAGAAAACUUGUUUUUUGCAUCAUUCUCCCUGCCGGUUGAUGGGACAGAAGUAACAUGCCAGGUGGCUGCAUCUCAGAAGUCUGUUGCCUGCGAUGUAGGCUACCCUGCUUUAAAGAGAGAACAACAGGUGACUUUUACUAUUAACUUUGACUUCAAUCUUCAAAACCUUCAGAAUCAGGCGUCUCUCAGUUUCCAAGCCUUAAGUGAAAGCCAAGAAGAAAACAAGGCUGAUAAUUUGGUCAACCUCAAAAUUCCUCUCCUGUAUGAUGCUGAAAUUCACUUAACAAGAUCUACCAACAUAAAUUUUUAUGAAAUCUCUUCGGAUGGGAAUGUUCCUUCAAUCGUGCACAGUUUUGAAGAUGUUGGUCCAAAAUUCAUCUUCUCCCUGAAGGUAACAACAGGAAGUGUUCCAGUAAGCAUGGCAACUGUAAUCAUCCACAUCCCUCAGUAUACCAAAGAAAAGAACCCACUGAUGUACCUAACUGGGGUGCAAACAGACAAGGCUGGUGACAUCAGUUGUAAUGCAGAUAUCAAUCCACUGAAAAUAGGACAAACAUCUUCUUCUGUAUCUUUCAAAAGUGAAAAUUUCAGGCACACCAAAGAAUUGAACUGCAGAACUGCUUCCUGUAGUAAUGUUACCUGCUGGUUGAAAGACGUUCACAUGAAAGGAGAAUACUUUGUUAAUGUGACUACCAGAAUUUGGAACGGGACUUUCGCAUCAUCAACGUUCCAGACAGUACAGCUAACGGCAGCUGCAGAAAUCAACACCUAUAACCCUGAGAUAUAUGUGAUUGAAGAUAACACUGUUACGAUUCCCCUGAUGAUAAUGAAACCUGAUGAGAAAGCCGAAGUACCAACAGGAGUUAUAAUAGGAAGUAUAAUUGCUGGAAUCCUUUUGCUGUUAGCUCUGGUUGCAAUUUUAUGGAAGCUCGGCUUCUUCAAAAGAAAAUAUGAAAAGAUGACCAAAAAUCCAGAUGAGAUUGAUGAGACCACAGAGCUCAGUAGCUGAACCAGCAGACCUACCUGCAGUGGGAACCGGCAGCAUCCCAGCCAGGGUUUGCUGUUUGCGUGAAUGGAUUUCUUUUUAAAUCCCAUAUUUUUUUUAUCAUGUCGUAGGUAAACUAACCUGGUAUUUUAAGAGAAAACUGCAGGUCAGUUUGGAAUGAAGAAAUUGUGGGGGGUGGGGGAGGUGCGGGGGGCAGGUAGGGAAAUAAUAGGGAAAAUACCUAUUUUAUAUGAUGGGGGAAAAAAAGUAAUCUUUAAACUGGCUGGCCCAGAGUUUACAUUCUAAUUUGCAUUGUGUCAGAAACAUGAAAUGCUUCCAAGCAUGACAACUUUUAAAGAAAAAUAUGAUACUCUCAGAUUUUAAGGGGGAAAACUGUUCUCUUUAAAAUAUUUGUCUUUAAACAGCAACUACAGAAGUGGAAGUGCUUGAUAUGUAAGUACUUCCACUUGUGUAUAUUUUAAUGAAUAUUGAUGUUAACAAGAGGGGAAAACAAAACACAGGUUUUUUCAAUUUAUGCUGCUCAUCCAAAGUUGCCACAGAUGAUACUUCCAAGUGAUAAUUUUAUUUAUAAACUAGGUAAAAUUUGUUGUUGGUUCCUUUUAGACCACGGCUGCCCCUUCCACACCCCAUCUUGCUCUAAUGAUCAAAACAUGCUUGAAUAACUGAGCUUAGAGUAUACCUCCUAUAUGUCCAUUUAAGUUAGGAGAGGGGGCGAUAUAGAGAAUAAGGCACAAAAUUUUGUUUAAAACUCAGAAUAUAACAUGUAAAAUCCCAUCUGCUAGAAGCCCAUCCUGUGCCAGAGGAAGGAAAAGGAGGAAAUUUCCUUUCUCUUUUAGGAGGCACAACAGUUCUCUUCUAGGAUUUGUUUGGCUGACUGGCAGUAACCUAGUGAAUUUCUGAAAGAUGAGUAAUUUCUUUGGCAACCUUCCUCCUCCCUUACUGAACCACUCUCCCACCUCCUGGUGGUACCAUUAUUAUAGAAGCCCUCUACAGCCUGACUUUCUCUCCAGCGGUCCAAAGUUAUCCCCUCCUUUACCCCUCAUCCAAAGUUCCCACUCCUUCAGGACAGCUGCUGUGCAUUAGAUAUUAGGGGGGAAAGUCAUCUGUUUAAUUUACACACUUGCAUGAAUUACUGUAUAUAAACUCCUUAACUUCAGGGAGCUAUUUUCAUUUAGUGCUAAACAAGUAAGAAAAAUAAGCUCGAGUGAAUUUCUAAAUGUUGGAAUGUUAUGGGAUGUAAACAAUGUAAAGUAAGACAUCUCAGGAUUUCACCAGAAGUUACAGAUGAGGCACUGGAAGCCACCAAAUUAGCAGGUGCACCUUCUGUGGCUGUCUUGUUUCUGAAGUACUUAAACUUCCACAAGAGUGAAUUUGACCUAGGCAAGUUUGUUCAAAAGGUAGAUCCUGAGAUGAUUUGGUCAGAUUGGGAUAAGGCCCAGCAAUCUGCAUUUUAACAAGCACCCCAGUCACUAGGAUGCAGAUGGACCACACUUUGAGAAACACCACCCAUUUCUACUUUUUGCACCUUAUUUUCUCUGUUCCUGAGCCCCCACAUUCUCUAGGAGAAACUUAGAGGAAAAGGGCACAGACACUACAUAUCUAAAGCUUUGGACAAGUCCUUGACCUCUAUAAACUUCAGAGUCCUCAUUAUAAAAUGGGAAGACUGAGCUGGAGUUCAGCAGUGAUGCUUUUAGUUUUAAAAGUCUAUGAUCUGGACUUCCUAUAAUACAAAUACACAAUCCUCCAAGAAUUUGACUUGGAAAAAAAUGUCAAAGGAAAACAGGUUAUCUGCCCAUGUGCAUAUGGACAACCUUGACUACCCUGGCCUGGCCCGUGGUGGCAGUCCAGGGCUAUCUGUACUGUUUACAGAAUUACUUUGUAGUUGACAACACAAAACAAACAAAAAAGGCAUAAAAUGCCAGCGGUUUAUAGAAAAAACAGCAUGGUAUUCUCCAGUUAGGUAUGCCAGAGUCCAAUUCUUUUAACAGCUGUGAGAAUUUGCUGCUUCAUUCCAACAAAAUUUUAUUUAAAAAAAAAAAAAAAAGACUGGAGAAACUAGUCAUUAGCUUGAUAAAGAAUAUUUAACAGCUAGUGGUGCUGGUGUGUACCUGAAGCUCCAGCUACUUGAGAGACUGAGACAGGAAGAUCGCUUGAGCCCAGGAGUUCAAGUCCAGCCUAAGCAACAUAGCAAGACCCUGUCUCAAAAAAAUGACUAUUUAAAAAGACAAUGUGGCCAGGCACGGUGGCUCACACCUGUAAUCCCAACACUUUGGGAGGCUGAGGCCGGUGGAUCACGAGGUCAGGAGUUUGAGACUAGCCUGGCCAACAUGGUGAAACCCCAUCUCUAAUAAUAUAAAAAUUAGCUGGGCGUAGUAGCAGGUGCCUGUAAUCCCAGUUACUCGGGAAGCUGAGGCAGGAGAAUCACUUGAACCCGGGAGGCAGAGGUUUCAGUGAGCCGAGAUCGCGCCACUGCACUCCAGCCUGGGUGACAGGGCAAGACUCUGUCUCAAACAAACAAACAAAAAAAAAGUUAGUACUGUAUAUGUAAAUACUAGCUUUUCAAUGUGCUAUACAAACAAUUAUAGCACAUCCUUCCUUUUACUCUGUCUCACCUCCUUUAGGUGAGUACUUCCUUAAAUAAGUGCUAAACAUACAUAUACGGAACUUGAAAGCUUUGGUUAGCCUUGCCUUAGGUAAUCAGCCUAGUUUACACUGUUUCCAGGGAGUAGUUGAAUUACUAUAAACCAUUAGCCACUUGUCUCUGCACCAUUUAUCACACCAGGACAGGGUCUCUCAACCUGGGCGCUACUGUCAUUUGGGGCCAGGUGAUUCUUCCUUGCAGGGGCUGUCCUGUACCUUGUAGGACAGCAGCCCUGUCCUAGAAGGUAUGUUUAGCAGCAUUCCUGGCCUCUAGCUACCCGAUGCCAGAGCAUGCUCCCCCCGCAGUCAUGACAAUCAAAAAAUGUCUCCAGACAUUGUCAAAUGCCUCCUGGGGGGCAGUAUUUCUCAAGCACUUUUAAGCAAAGGUAAGUAUUCAUACAAGAAAUUUAGGGGGAAAAAACAUUGUUUAAAUAAAAGCUAUGUGUUCCUAUUCAACAAUAUUUUUGCUUUAAAAGUAAGUAGAGGGCAUAAAAGAUGUCAUAUUCAAAUUUCCAUUUCAUAAAUGGUGUACAGACAAGGUCUAUAGAAUGUGGUAAAAACUUGACUGCAACACAAGGCUUAUAAAAUAGUAAGAUAGUAAAAUAGCUUAUGAAGAAACUACAGAGAUUUAAAAUUGUGCAUGACUCAUUUCAGCAGCAAAAUAAGAACUCCUAACUGAACAGAAAUUUUUCUACCUAGCAAUGUUAUUCUUGUAAAAUAGUUACCUAUUAAAACUGUGAAGAGUAAAACUAAAGCCAAUUUAUUAUAGUCACACAAGUGAUUAUACUAAAAAUUAUUAUAAAGGUUAUAAUUUUAUAAUGUAUUUACCUGUCCUGAUAUAUAGCUAUAACCCAAUAUAUGAAAAUCUCAAAAAUUAAGACAUCAUCAUACAGAAGGCAGGAUUCCUUAAACUGAGAUCCCUGAUCCAUCUUUAAUAUUUCAAUUUGCACACAUAAAACAAUGCCCUUUUGUGUACAUUCAGGCAUACCCAUUUUAAUCAAUUUGAAAGGUUAAUUUAAACCUCUAGAGGUGAAUGAGAAACAUGGGGGAAAAGUAUGAAAUAGGUGAAAAUCUUAACUAUUUCUUUGAACUCUAAAGACUGAAACUGUAGCCAUUAUGUAAAUAAAGUUUCAUAUGUACCUGUUUAUUUUGGCAGAUUAAGUCAAAAUAUGAAUGUAUAUAUUGCAUAACUAUGUUAGAAUUGUAUAUAUUUUAAAGAAAUUGUCUUGGAUAUUUUCCUUUAUACAUAAUAGAUAAGUCUUUUUUCAAAUGUGGUGUUUGAUGUUUUUGAUUAAAUGUGUUUUGCCUCUUUCCACAAAAACUGUAAAAAUAAAUGCAUGUUUGUACAAAAAGUUGCAGAAUUCAUUUGAUUUAUGAGAAACAAAAAUUAAAUUGUAGUCAACAGUUAGUAGUUUUUCUCAUAUCCAAGUAUAACAAACAGAAAAGUUUCAUUAUUGUAACCCACUUUUUUCAUACCACAUUAUUGAAUAUUGUUACAAUUGUUUUGAAAAUAAAGCCAUUUUCUUUGGGCUUUUAUAAGUUA